rnacentral:rRNA from 1 species
AUUGAACGCUGGCGGCAUGCCUUACACAUGCAAGUCGAACGGCAGCACGGGGCAACCUGGUGGCGAGUGGCGAACGGGUGAGUAAUGCAUCGGAACGUGCCAUUGAGUGGGGGAUAACGUAGCGAAAGUUGCGCUAAUACCGCAUAUUCUGUGCGCAGGAAAGCAGGGGACCGCAAGGCCUUGCGCUCUUUGAGCGGCCGAUGUCAGAUUAGCUAGUUGGUGAGGUAACGGCUUACCAAGGCGACGAUCUGUAGCGGGUCUGAGAGGAUGAUCCGCCACACUGGAACUGAGACACGGUCCAGACUCCUACGGGAGGCAGCAGUGGGGAAUUUUGGACAAUGGGCGCAAGCCUGAUCCAGCCAUGCCGCGUGAGUGAAGAAGGCCUCGG